AUUGAACGCUGGCGGCAGGCCUAACACAUGCAAGUCGAGCGGAUGAAGGGAGCUUGCUCCUGGAUUCAGCGGCGGACGGGUGAGUAAUGCCUAGGAAUCUGCCUGGUAGUGGGGGAUAACGUCCGGAAACGGGCGCUAAUACCGCAUACGUCCUGAGGGAGAAAGUGGGGGAUCUUCGGACCUCACGCUAUCAGAUGAGCCUAGGUCAGAUUAGCUAGUUGGUGGGGUAAAGGCCUACCGAGGCGACGAUCCGUAACUGGUCUGAGAGGAUGAUCAGUCACACUGGAACUGAGACACGGUCCAGACCCCUACGGGAGGCAGCAGUGGGGAAUAUUGGACAAUGGGCGAAAGCCUGAUCCAGCCAUGCCGCGUGUGUGAAGAAGGUCUUCGGAUUGUAAAGCACUUUAAGUUGGGAGGAAGGGCAGUAAGUUAAUACCUUGCUGUUUUGACGUUACCAACAGAAUAAGCACCGGCUAACUUCGUG
rnacentral:rRNA from 1 species